GGGUCUGUAGCUCAGGUGGUUAGAGCGCACCCCUGAUAAGGGUGAGGUCGGUAUUUCGAGUCUACCCAGACCCACCA
rnacentral:tRNA from 1 species